UGUAAAUACCCUCCUUGGGUGUUUCCUCCCUAGACUUAGGCCGCCGCGAGGCGGUCUUUUUUUGAAUUCGC
rnacentral:sRNA from 1 species